rnacentral:ncRNA from 1 species
UUCAUCAAGAGCAGUCGAGGGAUUGGCCCGAUGACACUGCGGCAACCCCCCUUACCGGGAAGGUGCCAAGUCCAACGGUGAAUGUUUACCGACAGAUGA